rnacentral:tRNA from 1 species
GGAGAGGUGGCAGAGUGGUCGAUUGCGGCGGUCUUGAAAACCGUUGUGCUGCGAGGUACCCGGGGUUCGAAUCCCUGUCUCUCCGCAA